GAAAGAAUACCAUAAAAUGACCACGAAAUGACCAGAAGCUACUUACACACAAUAUCCUGCAACUCUGUGAUCAAGGGAAACCAACUACCUUAUAGACAGGCUAUUCAAAAUCAAAUGAAAAAUUAACAUGUGAAAUCAACCGGGAUAAGCAAAAAUGAAAACAAGAUAUCCAGCAGAAGGUAGAGGCACUCUUCUUACUGCUUCAAUUUUCAAAAACAGGAUUGGAUAUAAGGUGUUUGAUUAAUUAUGGGAUAUAUGUUCAUCACUAUUGUAUGUAACUGAUGGGAAGUAGACCUGUGCCAGAAGGAAAUAAAAAGAACAAAGCAUUUACAAAAUUGGCUGGUUAGAGCAGCUGCUUGCUCUGCUUGUUGGCUCAUUUUUGUUUAUCCUGGCAUUCCUCUAUUUUUUUUUGUGCAGAAGAUUGGCCCUGAGCUAACAUCUGUUGCCAAUCUUCCUCUUUUUGCUUGAGGAAGAUCGCUGAGCUAACAUCCGUGCCAAUCUUCCUCUAUUUUAUGUGGGAUGCCGCUACAGCACGGCUUGCAGAGUGGUGCUGGGUUCACGCCCGGGAUCCAAACCUGUGAACCCCGGGCUGCUGAAGUGGAGUGCGUGAACUUAAUCACUACACCACCGACCUGGCCCCUUCUAUUCUUUACUCUUUAAGGUUGUUAACUGGGCUAUUAUCAAACUGCAAGAUUAAGCCCAAGGUUAGGAUAGAUGAGACUGUGAUGUUUACUGAGUGGAUAAAUGGAAAAACAAAGAAAGAAUGUUAACGUUUUUAAAGUUUUGACUUAUUAGUUCAUUCAUUCAAAAAAUAUUAGGUAAUAUUGUGCCAGGCACUGGCUAUGUACUGGUGAGCCAAUACAGAAAUGAUCUCAGCCCUCAGGGAGUUUACAGGCUAAUGGAAGAGAAAGAAAGUUUAAAAAGUCCUAAAUGCAUGUAAAAUAGUAACUGUGGUAGUGAGUGGAACCAACAAAAACUAUAACUGGGAUUUACCUGAGGGGAAGGCUCUCUUCAGGAAGUUCUAUCGGAAGGAUGAGUAGGAGCUAACCAGUUAAAUAGGGAAGGACAAGCAUUCAGGACAGAAGACGAACAUGUGCAAAGCAAGGAUCGUGACACAAGGAGACUAAAAGAAGGCCAUUGUGGCUGGAGCAGAGAGAGAGCAAGGAGGACAAUGAGCUGAAGGCUUCCACACAAUGUGAAAUAUUGUGGUCUUUAUCCUGAGAAGAAGGGGGAGCUGUAAUGUUUUAAGCAGAGAGGAGACAAGACCAGUUUAGAGACUGAUCAAAGCAGACGCAGGCAGACCAAUCAGAAGCUCCUGCAUUGCUGAGGAUUAGAGAUGAAGCUAUCGUGGCCAGACUGCAAUCAGAGAGAAGAAGGGAUUCGAGAGAGACUCGAAAGUAACAUCAACAAGAUUUGUGGACAGAUUUGAAAGAGAGAUUAAAGGCAAAAAGAGUAUAAAGAUGAUCCCCAGGUUUUUGGCUGGAUUAAACAGAAAGGAUUAUGGUGCUGUUCACUGAAACAGGAAACACUAAAAGAAGACUAGGUUUGGGAAGAAGACUAUGAAUUUGGUUUUGGACAUGCUGAGUGGAGGCGCCUUGGAGACAUCCAUGUAGAUUUACUGUUACCUGGAUGGUAUUUCCAAUAGGAGCCCCUGGGGCGCCUUCAAUAUUGGGCUUUGAGAAAGAUGGUGGCAUGCCUGGUUGACCAAGAGGUUGCUGUAUGCCAUGGAAGGGCUGGCCACCUGGAAGAUGUGGCUGUGGGAAUGAAGCUUGGCUUGACAGUGGUACUGGAGCUGAAGGCUGUUGCUGCAGCAUCUGUGACUGGGGGUCACCCAAGGGGUUCAUGAUUGGCGAUGUGAUGGGAACAGGAGGCAUAAAGUUUUCAGGCAUCUUUCAGAAGAUGGAAAUAAAAGACACCAAGAGUAAGAAAAAACCAAUAGCAACAUUUCCUCAGCUUUAAAUAAGGGAAUUAAGACUAUUUCAUGGUUAAAAAAUUUUUUAAAUAGUAGUAGAAUACUUUUUUCAAAUGAAAUUUUAUGCAGAAUUCUAGAGUAAAAUAUAAAAGUAGAGCUUAUCUGACUAAAAGGGGUGGGGAGCAUAAACCUGGACCUCUCAGUUUCCCCUUUGCCUUCCACACUUACUCUCAUAAUGGGGAGCCAAAACCAUGUGUUUUUGAAAGAGGAUGUCAAAGCAUGAGGAAUUAUAUCUACAAACUCUGGAAUCAGAUAACCAAAUGUGUGUUUAACAUGAUCAGCAUGUAAUACUCUUUUCCUAGAUCACUAGGUAUGUAUUACCUAUCAAUUCAAUCACACUAAAAGUACAGUCCUACGCUACUUAACAACGGGCAUAUGUUCUGAGAAAUGGCGAUUUUCGUCAUUAUGUGAACAUCAUAGAGUGUACUUACACAAACCUAGAUGGUAUAGUCUACUACAGACCUAUGCUAUAUGGUACUAAUUUUAUGGGACCACUGUCGUAUAUGUAGUCCAUCGUUGGCCGAAAUGUCAUUAUGUAGCGCAUGACUGUAGAAGAUUGUUUCUGAUUAUUACUAACCUAAAUUUUAGGUUUUCUUGCUCACUUAGUGUCUUUAUGUUAUAGCCUCUCACUAUACUUGGGGGAAGGAGAUCACCAGGAGUUUAAAAAAAAAAGGUAGAAAAUAAAA